CCUACGGGGGGCAGCAGUGGGGGAUAUUGCACAAUGGGGGGAACCCUGAUGCAGCGACGCCGCGUGAACGAAGAAAUAUUUCGGUAUGUAAAGUUCUAUCAGCAGGGAAGAAAAUGACAGUACCUGACCAAGAAGCCCCGGCUAACUACGUGCCAGCAGCCGCGGUAAUACGUAGGGGGCGAGCGUUAUCCGGAUUCACUGGGCGUAAAGGGAGCGCAGGCGGCACGGCAAGUCCGGUGUGAAAGCCCGGGGCCCAACCCCGGGACUGCACUGGAAACUGCCGGGCUGGAGUGUCGGAGGGGCAG
rnacentral:rRNA from 1 species